CUUAAUGUUUCUCUCCAGGUUAUUAAUGCUUGGGAAGGAUUUGGAUGGAAAAAGGUCACCGAAUUUCCUUUCUGGCUCAGAUGCCUUGUAAUACCACUAAUGUAUUUACAAAAGCAGUUUAUGUUAGGAUAUGGUUCUCUUCCAUUGGCCCUUUUACAUUUUAAUCUAAUACACAAGGUAUUUAUGCAAGCCUAUUAUAUACCACUUCUAAUAGUCCUGGCCUGGUUAUUGGUUGUUUAUCCCUUUGUUAUUCUUCCUCUAAUAAAAUCAAGGAAACGUAAACUUAAGCAGAACUAAGGGAAAUAUAAAAUAUACAUUAUGUCUUAAUCAAAGGACGUGAAAACUUUUGUAAUCACAAGCAUUAUGUAACCGUAGGGUAGAGAAGAUCGUUCUUUGAAAUGUAGAUAGAUGCCGUCUAAGAAUAUCUCAACAAAUAUCAUCGUCCAGUCAUAUUAGAAUGUUUAUCCCAAUAUUAAAGUUAAACAUUUGAUAUUGA